rnacentral:tRNA from 2 species
AAUAAGAAGCAAUAAUGCAAAUAGUUUCGACCUAUUAAUUGAUAUAUUUAUCCUUAUUU